UAUUGCCCUGGUAUUAACAUCUGGACRCCGCUACGGAUGGUAGAGAGAGUCCUCCAAGGGAGGUAUCCAGGCACAUACCUUCAAAACAGAGACUCUUUCUCCCGAGAAACRGACUGUUUUGUUCUAUGGUUGGUAGUGUCCGUGUUACGAAGGCUGAGCUACCAGAAGACUUAGCAGUGAAUUGCAAGUCUGAGAUCUGCAAGAGAAUCUUGUGGAAGUUGGGAAGCGGACACAGGAAAACAGCACAGACUCAUGGAGUCAUUAAGGUUGGAAGGGUUGCUAGUGUCUUCCUACAUUUCCAUUUAUGUCCCUAAACCCUUUCUUUCUAAACRUAAGAAGUGUAAAGACCUAUCUUCAGCAGCAGAGMUGAAUUUACAGAACUUAUGACUUUGGGAGACUUUAAUUCCUUUCCUGUGCAAGGCAAUUUCAAAGUACUUCUCUGCUUUCAGAAUAUUUGAGUAUCUGUUCAGGGAUGAUGUCUUGUUUCAAAGAUAUUGUGUUUGCAAUGUGCUAUCUAAGUUUGUAUGCUUUUUGAUGAAUGGUCACUUUUGAUCCUUUGCAAUCCAAUGAUCUUUGGAGCCAAAGGGAGAGACUAGUUUUAGUAGGUUUUCAGUAAGUUGUUUCAUGGAAGCCUGCGAUAUAGCCUAGGGGGACUGAGCUCAUCAACCAAAAACACAGUUCCUGCUACAGUAGCUGCUCUGGAAGCAAACCAGGUAGCCCUGUCACAGUGAAUGCCAGCCCAGAUCUGCCUCAUUUUGAGUUGGUGUUCCUGUAAAGGGUUCUUCACAAUUACACAUCUUAAUAUUAUCUCAAGACUGCUAUCCRAAGAAAUAGCUUAGAAAAUGGACAUCUCUCAUCUUUACGUGGAGGUAUCCUCCCUGUUUUGUGAUCAUAAGCUGAUGUUUCUAACACCUACGCAAUGAGAAAAAUGUAUUUAUACUAGGUCUGUCUUGUAGCUGGCAUAUUUUGGCCAGGAAAAUGUCACUUCACAUUGACCUUUUGAGAAUAGUCUUAGUUGUGUAUUAUUAUUAUUAUUUUUAUUUGCCAGGAGUCUUUUGUUCAUUUACUCUAUCAGUUCAAGUCUCCUCUUUUCUUAGUCACUAACAGUAAUUUGUGAAUGAACUGCAUCAGAAUCAGAGCUGUAAGUCACUUCCAGAAAUGUUAAUCAAUUUGGGUUGCAUUUGAGCUUAUUGGUAGCAUUCCUUUUUCCCCACUAUCUGUGGCUCCAGUAUUCUGACUCCAGAGGAGUUCU